rnacentral:misc_RNA from 1 species
AGGACUAAAGCAGCUACUACUCGCUCGACAAAGAUGAUUGCACGAAAAUCCUCUGUGUACUGAUACUUAAGAAGUAUUUUUAUUAAUGACUGCACUUUUGGGGUCACUUUUCCAUCAGCUACAGCAGCCCCUAUUAUCACAUCAACAUGCUCCCCACCGGAAACGACAUGACUGUCAGGAAGCUCUCCUUCUUCAAUAUCAUCAGGAUCAGUCCCAUCUUGAGCAACUCCAUUCUCAUUGUCAUUAGAUUUUG